rnacentral:lncRNA from 1 species
AACAAUGUUCUAAUUAGACUAUAAUAAUGGUAAACAAAUGUAAUCAAAUUCAAAAAAAUUCAAAGAAAUUUCAAACAAACAAUAAAAUUCUUAAAGAAAUAUUAGAAUAAACUCAAAUAUUACUCAAAUAUAUGUCAAUUCAACCUUAAUUUAAUUCUAGUUAAAACCCUAUUGAAUUUCACUCAAACUUUCGACCAAACCUAAUUAAAUCUUAAAUCCUAAUAAAUCCUAAAACCUAAGUCAAAUCCUAAAAAAACCUUAAAUUAAAUCCUAAAUCAAACCCUAUUUCAAACCCUAAAUCCUAAACCAAAUCCUAAAUCAAACCCUAACCAAAUCCUAAACCCUAAUCCAAACCCUAAAUCAAAUCCUAAUUCAACCCUAAAUCCUAAUCCAAAUCCUAAAUCAAAUCUUAAUCCAACCCUAAAUCCUAAUCCAAACCCUAAAUCAAACCCUAAUCCAAACCCUAAAUUCUAAAUCAAACCCUAAAUCGAA